rnacentral:rRNA from 1 species
AGAGUUUGAUCCUGGCUCAGGAUGAACGCUGGCGGCGUGCUUAACACAUGCAAGUCGAACGGAGUUUACUUAACAGAUUCCUUCGGGAUGACGUUUUUUAAACUUAGUGGCGGACGGGUGAGUAACGCGUGGGUAACCUGCCUUACACAGGGGGAUAGCAGUUGGAAACGACUGGUAAUACCGCAUACCUUACAUUAUUCGCAUGUUUGAUGUAAGAAAGAUUUUAUCGGUGUAAGAUGGACCCGCGUCUGAUUAGCUAGUUGGUGUGGUAACGGCAUACCAAGGCGACGAUCAGUAGCCGGCCUGAGAGGGUGAACGGCCACAUUGGGACUGAGAUACGGCCCAGACUCCUACGGGAGGCAGCAGUGGGGAAUAUUGCACAAUGGAGGCAACUCUGAUGCAGCGACGCCGCGUGAGUGAAGAAGUAUUUCGGUAUGUAAAGCUCUAUCAGUAGGGAAGAUAAUGACGGUACCUACAGAAGAAGCCCCGGCUAAAUACGUGCCAGCAGCCGCGGUAAUACGUAUGGGGCAAGCGUUAUCCGGAUUUACUGGGUGUAAAGGGAGUGUAGGCGGCAGUACAAGUCAGGAGUGAAAACUUGGGGCUCAACCCCAAGACUGCUUUUGAAACUGUACAGCUAGAGUGUAGGAAGGGCAAGCGGAAUUCCUGGUGUAGCGGUGAAAUGCGUAGAUAUCAGGAAGAACACCGGUGGCGAAGGCGGCUUGCUGGACUAUAACUGACGCUGAGACUCGAAAGCGUGGGGAGCGAACAGGAUUAGAUACCCUGGGUAGUCCACGCUGUAAACGAUGAAUACUAGGUGUUGGGUCUCGAUAGAGAUUCGGUGCCGAAGCAAACGCAUUAAGUAUUCCACCUGGGGAGUACGUUCGCAAGAAUGAAACUCAAAGGAAUUGACGGGGACCCGCACAAGCGGUGGAGCAUGUGGUUUAAUUCGAAACAACGCGAAGAACCUUACCAAGUCUUGACAUCCCUCUGACCGUUCCUUAACCGGAACUUUCCUUCGGGACAGGGGAGACAGGUGGUGCAUGGUUGUCGUCAGCUCGUGUCGUGAGAUGUUGGGUUAAGUCCCGCAACGAGCGCAACCCCUAUCCUUAGUAGCCAGCGGUUUGGCCGGGCACUCUGAGGAGACUGCCAGGGAUAACCUGGAGGAAGGCGGGGAUGACGUCAAAUCAUCAUGCCCCUUAUGAUUUGGGCUACACACGUGCUACAAUGGCGUAAACAAAGGGAAGCAAGCCUGCGAAGGUAAGCAAAUCCCAAAAAUAACGUCCCAGUUCGGACUGCAGUCUGCAACUCGACUGCACGAAGCUGGAAUCGCUAGUAAUCGCGGAUCAGAAUGCCGCGGUGAAUACGUUCCCGGGUCUUGUACACACCGCCCGUCA